UAUUUACUUUUCGUCGAUAUAUUGACGAAACCCCACCUUUUAAUUUUCACCGUUUUAACCUCAGUUUUAACUAACCUUGGUUCCCCACCCUAACUCAUUGAACGUGUUAGAAAAAAAAUCGUGUUGGACGCCAUUUUUUCAUUGCAUUGGUUGCGUUCGGUCGAUGAAGGUUCGUUUUCGAAGUGCUCGGUUUUUGAAGAAAAUUUGAUCUGAAUUUGCUGAAUCUGAAAAGAUGGGGUCUUGAAAAAGACUAGGCUGGCUGUCCGGUGCCCCGACCGAUGCUGGUUACGAUAGAGGACGAUGAUUAUUAUUUGGAGGAAGCGGUUUCUUCCGAGCAAAUCGUGAUUCUGACGGCCAGCAAAGAAAUCUCACGCACUUGCACAUAACCCCGCCGAAGGAGAGCUUUUCGUUUCAACGACGAACGUUGGCCGGAAGAUGUGGCAAACCCUGACCAAUGCGUCCAGAAACAGUUCGUCGGGGAGAGGAGCAGGAGAAAAAAAUACCUGCAAACGAUUGUAAGAAGUUGGAAUAGGAGGCACAAGUGCAGCCGCACCUCAACCGACCCCGGAUGUUGUCAACCCCCUUCGGUCGUCUUUGGCAUCGGCUCUGUAAAAACUAAAUUCAGCAAUGAUCUCAUAAAGUGUUAUAUUUCUUCAAUUAUUAGUUGUUUGUGAAUAAAAUGCUGUUUCCUUUUUUGUUUUA